rnacentral:rRNA from 1 species
UACGAAGGGGGGCUAGCGUUGUUCGGAAUUACUGGGCGUAAAGGGCGCGUAGGUGGCUUUGAUAGUCGGGUGUGAAAUGCCUGGGCUUAACCCAGGAACUGCACUCGAAACUCCAAGGCUUGAGUGUGGGAGAGGUUGGUGGAAUUCCCAGUGUAGAGGUGAAAUUCGUAGAUAUUCGGAAGAACACCAGUGGCGAAGGCGGCUCACUGGACCGGCAUUGACGCUGAGGUGCGAAAGCGUGGGGAGCAAACAGG